ACUCAGCGGAGGCCUCCGGAGCCGCCGCGAAGCCCCUCCGAGGAACCCCUUCCUUACCUGCGCAGUCCCCGCCGCACCUGUACCUGCCGCAGCCCCGCACCUGGCCGAGCCGAAGAGCUGCCGCCGGGAGCCGGCGCUUCCCUCCUUGGGAAGGAGAUUGAAGAGAUGGUCUCCCAUGAUGGGUAGCCUCCACUAAAACUACCUGGUUGCCAUGGAAAGAGGACUAGUUUCCCACAAAGACAACAAGAAAAAUUCUCUGAAGAAAAAGGAGGAGGCGCACUGCAGGCAGACAAAUCGAGUAAGGUCUUCUGUGGUGAAUUUGCAGGCUUCGGUCCUAUAGCAAAUUUACACCUGCUGGCAGGUAUGUCUGUUGAGAGGAUCGUUAAACUUGCGAAAUGGAGGGAAAUGGCGACAUCUAAGGUGCUUGGGCAUUGGCAUUGUGUAAUCAUAUUCUAGCUAAGAACUUAAACUUUUCAGAAAGGAUGGACAGCCAGGUCAUAAAUUAUACAUCAAUAAAUCAGUGACAUACUGCUGAGUUGUUUGACAGUUAUAUGAAAGAGAUAACUGAGCUUGACUUCCUUGUCAUGUUGCCCUAACCUGAAAACCUGUGAAUAUGUUGGUUUACAUGGCAGAAGAGAUUCUGCAGAUGUGAUUAGGUUAAGGACCUCAAGAUGAGGAGAUUAUCCUGGGUACCUGUGUGCACAACACAAGUGGCCUCAGAAGAGGGAGAGAGGAGGGUCCAAGUCACAGAAAGUGAUGUGACAGCAGGAGACAAAUGACAACAGAAUCACAAGUCACAGGGAGAGAGAGUUUAAGAUGCUGCUCUGCUUGCUGGCUUUGAAGAUGGAGGAAGGAGCCAAUGAGCCAACAAAUACACACAGCUUCUAAAAGCUGGAAAAGACAAAGAAAAGGAUUUUCCCUUGAGCUUCAGAGGAAUGCAGCCUUGCUGGCACCUUAAUUUUAGGACUUCUGACUUCCUGAACGGGGCGAUGAAUUUGUGUCGUUUUAAGCCAGAAAGUUUGUGAUAAUUUGUUACAAUAGGAAAGUAAUACAACUGCCUUUUGGGAAAGCAGCUUGACAACAAGCACUAAAAGAGAGUGUGUGCCUUCCUACUGCCGUUCUGCCUCUGGAACUCUCUUCUAAUGAAACAGAUAUGCAGAAAUGCACUUCUUAUAUAGUAAGGUGUUCCUUGCAGUAUUAUCUAUUAGCCAAACCUUCUGAGGGCACUACUGGUUGUGUUACCUUCAUUUAGUUACAGCAUAACAAGAGAACAUGAGCCAUUG
rnacentral:lncRNA from 1 species